AUACGUAGGGUGCAAGCGUUAAUCGGAAUUACUGGGCGUAAAGCGUGCACAGGCGGUUUUGUAAGACAGAGGUGGAAUCCCCGGGCUCAACCUGGGGACUGCCAUUGUGACUGCAAGGCUGGAGUGCGGCAGAGGGGGAUGGAAUUCCGCGUGUAGCAGUGAAAAGCGUAGAUAUGCGGAGGAACACCGAAGGCGAAGGCAAUCCCCUGGGCCUGCACUGACGCUCAUGCACGAAAGCGGGGGGAGCAAACAGGAUUAGAUACCCUGUUAGUCCACGCCCUAAACGAUGUCAACUGGUUGUUGGGGAUUUAUUUUCUCAGUAACGAAGCUAACGCGUGAAGUUGACCGCCUGGGGAGUACGGCCGCAAGGUUAAAACUCAAAUGAAUUGACGGGG
rnacentral:rRNA from 1 species